ACAGGCACUAGCUGGGGAACUACCAAAAGAAGGAGGCUCAGACUCAGGGGAUUGCUGGUGGGAUGACGAUGGCUGGUCAGAGGGAGAAGGCUGGGAAGAGGAGGUGUUGGAAGCUGAAGAGGUAACAGGGUUUAGUGAGUAAGAGGAGGCUGUGACAGAGAACAGUCCGGACUCAGAGGCAGAAGCAGAGGCUGGAGGUGGGCCAAGAGGCAGAGAUGAGGCAGGCUACCCUCCCCCCUUGUAUCCCUGAACCCACAGAGGUAUGAAGAGGGCGGAACAAAGACAAACCAGGCAAAGGAGUAUUUGGUUGCUUGGGAAGGACCCAGGGGAGGAGAAGACUCGGGGAGCUGCGGGGAAGUGGGAACCUUCAGUCCUCACAACUGCCUCAUUGGGGCAAGACCUGCUGGGAAGAGUUGUUGCGCUCACUAGGCCUGAGCUGUUUGGCUUCUUUGAACAGAGUUAACUUUACUUGUGAGUUAUUCCUGGCCUGCUCCUGACUCCCACCUUGACACCAGGUCGAAGAAGACUGGAUUAAAAAAAAGGUCCUAUUUUUUCUCCCACACCUCAAUCUUUCCUCCCAGAGAAGAGAAGAGUUUGGAUUUGAUAUCCCGCUUUAUCACUACCCGAAGGAGUCUCAAAGCGGCUAACAUUCUCCUUUCCCUUCCUCCCCCACAACAAACACUCUGUGAGGUGAGUGAGGCUGAGAGACUUCAAAGAAGUGUGACUAGCCCAAGGUCACCCAGCAGCUGCAUGUGGAGGAGCGGGGACGCGAACCCGGUUCACCAGAUUACGAGUCCACUGCUCUUAACCACUACACCACAUGCAAUGUGACACAAACAAUAUAAGGGGUUCAACAGCCAGGCAUGAGCAGAGCUUCAAACCUUAGUGGGAAGAAUAAAGCUACAGCUGGCCUGCCCCAACCUGGCCUGGCUGACAGAGGUUACUUGCGAUUUACAACUCCUGACACUAUCUGAUCUUUCCAGCUUGAAGCAUCAGUACUCUCUGGUUCACCCCACCACCCACCGCUUCUCCCCCUUCUCAUCUCUAGCAUGCUGGAAGAGCUGCAGAUGCAACUCCACAGUCCUCGCUGCCUGGCAAGAUCUCCGACAACACCUUCACUGUCAAAAGGGGACAAUCGCAGGGUGCCCACGCUACAAGGCAGUGUUGAGAUAACUUCCCCCUGUGAUGUCAAAGACAGAACAUCUCCAAGGAGUCGGGGCGAUGCAGAGGCUGAUGACUGAUCCAGUGUAAGCCAUCUAAAAAUAUUCACAGAGCUUUUAUUCCACAGAAGAUAUGACCUUGUAUUUUUUUUUCAGAGAGAGAGAGAUAGAGAGAGAGAGAGAGAGAGAGGCUUUAUCUCUCUUAAGCCAAAGAGUGAAAUAUGUAUCAGCCGAGAUUCCUGCAUUGCAGGGGGUUGGACUAGGUGACCCUUGGGUCACUUCCAACUCUAAGAUUCUAUGAUUUUGUGACAUAAAAAAAAUUAUUUAGCCAGGUUCUCCCAUUCUAAAGAUCCAUUACUGCAAUUAACAAUUUUAUCUCCCCAACCCUGUCCAGUGAUAUUUAGACAUUCAAAUUAAGUGAAAGUCUCAUGCCACAAUAAUAGAAAAGGCAACAGAGAAUGAUGACUCUCGCCCUAGAUGUUCAGUUAUCAGCAUAAGAAAACUUCUUCCUCUGGGUUCCUUUCCCUUGAAAUAAAGGCCACUGGAGGCUUCUGGAGGAGUUGUUGGAUGGUUUUUUACCAUGGUAACUCAAAACUAGCUACAAUAUACAGUAUAAACAAAGUAAAACUGCAUAUGGGGUGCUAGGGGAAGAAGAAGAAGAAGAAGAAGAAGAAGAAGAAGAAGAAGAAGAAGAAGAAGAAGAAGAAGAAGAAGAGUUUGGAUUUGAUAUCCCACUUUAUCACUACCCUAAGGAGUCUCAAAGCGGCUAACAUUCUCCUUUCCCUUCCUCCCCCACAACAAACACUCUGUGAGGUGAGUGAGGCUGAGAGACUCACCCAAGGUCACCCAGCAGCUGCAUGUGGAGGAGAGGAGACACGAACCCAGUUCACCAGAUUAUGAGUCUACCGCUCUUAACCACUACACCACACUGGCUCUCUAGGGGAGAACUAGUACCUCUGGUGGGGGGCACAUUGUGUUCCUUCUGAGGUAGUUUGUCCACUUCUGGUCCCCACCCUGCACUCAGCUCUCACCUGUGGCUCCUAGGUGUCAGCAGGUGACAGCGGUCACCACCCAGAAAUGGCUUUGACUGGCUGGCUAAGGAGGCAUCGCACCCCAAAAUAUGCUCCAAGCUCAGCUCCUCUUUUCCCUGCCCGACACUCUUUGCAACUUUCCAGCUAGCAGAAGAAGUGUUCAGCUAGGUAGAAAUCUGCUUAAUAAGGAAAAGUGCUUGAUUACUUUACCAGAACCACUAAGGUGAUCUCUGGCAGCCCCCUGGUUUGGACAGUUUGGCAAAGCUCAGCCAGUGUUAUAAUCAAGAAUCACAGGACCCUGGGCUUAGUGGGCCUUGUAGUUCUGUGAGGAGAAUAGGGGCAUCCUAGCAACUCCCAGUACCCUGAAGAAACUACAGUUCCCAGAAUUCUUUGGGGGAAGCCAUGUCUGUUUAAAGUGACAUCAUCCUGUUUUCUAUGCAUGGUGUGGAUGUUGUCUGAAUCACAGCGUAAGAUGACACAAUCCACACCUUUUGCCAUAUUAUUCACUUGCUUCCUGAAUAUUUUUCUUUCGGAAUGAGAAAAAGCUCGCCCAGAUUCAUGUAAUCAGAAAGGGCCAGUGGAUUCUGCAAACCGUUGUCUCCCUCAGGAAUGGCAGUGUGAGUUCUGCCUCACACCUCAUUUCCAGUUCAUUAGACAAAGAGAAGUCCCUAGGUGUCUAGACGUUAUCCAAAACUUAUGCUAGGAGGUUGUGCUGCAGGUGGACGUGCUGAAUGGUUGAUGUUAUUUCCUCACAAGGAGGCCACAUCCCUGCCACAUCUGUUCCCAUGGUGGGUCCCGAUGCAGCUCCUUCGCCAGAUGUUAAGUGUCAGCAAAGAAGGCAGGCAAAGAGCCAGAAUCAAGCCCAGAUGCUGCUGUUGGGAUGGUUCCAGAAUUCGGCAUCUGGAUCCUGCUCUUGCCAAACAUGCACCAUCUGUAGAAAAAGUGAUAAAUGUUUUCUCUUGAAGUAGAAGCAGCAAUGGGAGGACUGAAGAGGAAGUCAAUAAAAGUUUUUUUUUCCCCCAGCUAAAACUAAAUCUUGCUUGCCAGCCCCCAAAAAUUCCUCUGCAAAUGUUGAUGUCGAAUACGCCUCAGAUGUUCUUUGAAUACUCGGUCAUUUGCCAAACACUGACUUGGGUGUUUUGGGGUCUGAUAAAGCUUUGAUAAUGGGGUUUAAAAUAUUUGCUCUUUGAGAAGGUUAGGAGUGAGACAACAGUGACAGGAACACUGAGAGGGAGAGGGAGAGGCAGCCAUUGUUCCCCUCGGCCUUGCCUUCUGGCAGCUGUGGAGAUGGGGGACAGAGGGAUGAGACCUGCGGAAAUAAUACGUGACUUCAGAGGCGUGUGGCCUGAGGAGAUUCCUGAGGAUCAGACACAAAGAGAGGCCUGAAGGUCUGCAUUUGGCCCCCAGGGCUGCGGUUCCCCACUCCUGUGAUAUGUAUGACUAACAGCGUGUGACUACAUAGGCAGAUCAAUAUUUUUAAAACAAAAAAACACACCCAAGAAGUGUAGGUGGUGCUUUCUAGCAUUCAGUAAAGAGAGUGGACUUCUCUCAUUUAUUCAUUCUCCAGAACUGCUAACACUUUGCUAUGCUAUUACCUCAAGACAGCAGUAAAAUGGUUCUCCUUCUUAAUAAUAUUUACAGAGCAAUUUCAAGUGUUCAGAAAUUACCUUGUUAUGAUUAUUAACAACAGAAGCAACAACAACCCCGUAAGGUAUUAUUCCUUAAUUCCCAAUUUGCAUUAUUUCAUGGUAGGGCUCUUUUGUAAUAUUGAUGAGAUUUUUCUUGAUAGAUACCGAAAUUACGUUGCAUUUGGUUGUUGUAUCUCGAUGCGCGUCGAUGUUUUGUAUGUGAUUUGUUUUGGUGCUUGUCUCGUCGAUGUACUUAUGCACAUUGUUGUGAGAUCUUUUUUGUUGCCUAGUUGUGUUACUUACAAGGUGGAAUGCGUUGUUAUUGUUAGCAGUGGUAUUAGGUGUGGAUUUUGUGUUCCAGCUUGUUUAUACUGUUUUUUUGUUGAGAUAUGUAAACCGCUUAGAUAUUUCUGUCGAUAGAUUAAGUGGUACGCAAGUUAAAUAAAACAACAACAACAACAAUGGGGGUGCAUAAAGAAUGUGGUUGCCCCCAGUAAUUGAUGGAACCUGCAAAUCAGUUGUGCUAUGAACUGCAACUCAAGAAGCAGUGGAGGCAGGUCCAUGAGGGCGAAUGAGGCACUGCCCUACCUCAGUCCUUAGCCAAUCCCCCCCUGCCUGCCUUCUUUCUUACAUCCAGGCCAAGGGGUGGUGUUACCUGUCAGUUUCCUCCUCCUUCGUCUCAUUGUUGCCCCUUGUAGAAGUCAGCAGAGAGGAGGAUGGGGGAGAAACUAGAACUGGUCUGUCAUUGGCUUUGGCGCCACCUACUGUUGGGCUCCCUGCCUGCUGCCCUAUCAAUCCCAAUGGGCACCAGCCACCACCAGCUACUGCCAAUAUAUGAACAGGGGAGUUUUCUCUUCCCUUUCUUCCUCCUGUCUCUCUCCUCCUCGACAUAUGUGCUGUUUGCAGUGAGGCUUCACCAACCCCAAGCACAAUGCGGUUGUUACGUGAUCCUUUAUUCACGCCGUUUUUAUGGGAAGCAGCUAAAAGCAAGUAGAGCCUGCAGAAGAAAUUCUAAGAGAGGGUAACUUUGAAUCCAGUCCUAUUUAUAAAAAGAGAUGGGGAAGCAAAGAAAGCAAUAAAAUACCCUGGCUUUCCACUCUCAUAUCCAAGGGUUUUGUGCAGUCACCUAUUGCAGCAAUAUCUGAACACCUUAAAGGCAAAACAGAUUGGAAGUAAUGAGGUCUCUAUUAGAGCUCCUUGUGUUGGGAUAUAGAAAAUCCUGCUCAGGGCAAAAUCCUCACCUGAAACCGAGGCGGCUGCUUUAUAAAUCAGCCGUUCAAAACGUCGGCAGUGGCGCUACAAUUAACUAACAGUUAACAUUUUUGUGCCGUUACCCUGGAAAAUUGUAAUUACUUUAAGCUUUUAAGAGAGGCACACAUGCCCUCCACAUUCAGAAGAAGAAGAAGAAGAAGAAGAAGAAGAAGAAGAAGAAGAAAGAAGAAGAAAAUGAGGUUGGGGAGAAAGGGAUGAAGCAAGAAGAGGCAGGUCUGUAGGCAGGCAAAUAUUCUCCAUUCCACGCCGAGUGGAGGAAGCCAGGAAAAAUCCUUCCUCACGUUUCACAGCGAGUGGCCAGAGUUAGUCAAAGGAUUUGUAAAGAGGAGGUCACACUCCGAGAAAUCUUUUGUGAGGCCUACAAUAGAGAACUCUCUCAGGAGUGAAGCCUGGAAAUUCAAUGCAGUUGAACUUCAAGAAGGCUUUUUGUUGAGCGCCCCUUAAGACGGGGAUAGAAGGUGAACUGGGAUGGUAUUGAUAGUACAAUCCCUAAUUGGACUCAGCGCUGCAUCCAAGGGCAGCAGUUAGAGGGAGAUGGAUGCAAUUUAGGAGACUGGAGAGCAGAGAUAAGCGGAACAAUGCACGGAGCCCAGCGCUGGGCCUGCUGCUCAUGCUAGGUAUGCCUUAGGCCAUGUUCCCACCACACACUUAAAGCACUAUGAUGCCACUUUAAACCACCAUUGCUUCACUGAAAAGGAUUGUGGGAGCUGUAGUUUGUUAAGCUGCAGUUUGGGGUGUGUGGAGCGCUAGGGGAGAGCUAGUACCUUUGGUGGUGAAUGUGUUGUGCUCCUUCUAGGGUAGUUUGUCCACUUUUGGUCCCCACCCUGCACUCAGCUCUCACCUGUUGGCUCCUAGAAGCGGUCAGCGUGUGCAGCGGCCACACACCCUGGGGAACAGCUUGAACUGGCUGGCUAAACCAGGUGAGGGUAGCCAAUGGGUCUCAAAAACCCUCAGUGAGUUGAGGACGUCCCCCUCCAUGCGAAGACAGCCUCCAGUGGAUUGAGCGGACAAGACCAGGAGUGGGUCCAACGGUCAAGAAAGUGGUUUCUGCAUGUGCUGUAAGAAGUGAGGGCAGAUGUUGCUCAUCAGCCUUCGAAGGUAGCGCCUCUAAAAGAAGGAAAACUCUGGUCCUAAACCUCUGCUGCCUUGUGGGAUGUCUUUGAGAGAAUAAAUGGCUAAGGAGUAAACACAAUCUGGAGUGGCGUCCCUAAGACAGUUGGAUGGCGCCUUGUACGCCUCCUUCCAGCAAUUCCUGCAGCCAAGCUGGUGCCAAAUGUAUUGCUCUGCAGCCCAGGACUUCCAUACAUACUUCCCAGACUUGCGCCCUGGAGAGAUUACUCCAGUUUUGCUAACGCAGCGGUUUGACUUCCUCCCCGGAGGUGCAAUCCAUUGUCUCUUGAGAGAGGCGGAUGCCAAGAACCGUGACAAGAAGUUUGUUAAGAGAGCCGAAAGUUGUAAGGAGGGCCCCAUUCCCCUCACAGGGUGACAAUUCCCAAAGUUCCCUGGGAGGAGAGAAAGAUUGUUAAACCAAUAGCAGCAACAUCUGAAGGGCGCCAUUUUGGCUAACACUGUUUUACACCAAUGGCCUGUGCAAUAGAUUCUAUCCAGAUUGGGGCCCUAGCUUGAGGGGUUGGAGCCUUUAACCCUUAAUGUGCUCCAAAUCAAUCCCCCCACACACACACGCAUAGGCAAUUUGCACUGGAACUGGGCAGGGGAGAAAGAGUUUCCCAACCUAUUUGCUUUUCCCGCAACAGGUUAAAAAUGCAUGGUUCUAGUUCUAAUAGCACAAGGAUGGAAGACUGAAGAAACCCUAACUAAAGAAUCAUGGCAAGAAAAAUUGAUGGACUAUGCAGAACUGGCAAAAUUGACAUAUAAGCUAUGGGACAAGGAUAACUGUGACUUUAAAGAUGAAUGGGAACCCUUUACAAAGCAUUUGAAGACGCAACAAAGCAAACUGGACUCCUUGGCUGGCUUUGAAUGAACAUUCACAAACUUUUUUAUUGAUGAUAAUCAGCUAAAUAUUUUGAGGAUAUAUACAACUGUGUAACAUGCAGAAAACAGCAUUCUUAGAGAAAUCAAAGACUGGAACUGAGGGAAGCUGGGGGGGUGGGGGGGUUUGUGUGGGAGGGUGGAGGGAGCGAGGAAAAAUGGGGGUGGGGAAAUAAAAAUGAUAUGUUUCUGGAUAAUAUGUUUUGUUUUAAUUUUGAAUAAAAAAAGUGUUUUUUUUAAAGUUCAUGGUUCUGUUUUUUUCCAGGUAAAGAACUCAUUUGCACCACAAACAAACCUCCUCUCUGCUAUGAAAAGGCAGUGUGCCCUCUCCACCCCACCCCCUGCCCCAGGGCAAAGUCAUGAAAACAGCCGGCCUAUUGCCCCGAGGGUGGAAUUUGCCACUCUAAAUUAUAAAGAGCCAGGUUGGUUGGUAGAAAUGGGGAAUAUUUCUCCCUCAGCCACUUUGUGAGUAGUUUCAAGAUACUGCUUGGCAGAGGUGAAUCUUUAUAAAGUGGAAAUCAGCAAGCUGUGUGCUUAACACAGGCGUGGGAGGUCCAAGCCAGCAAGAAAGAGAUUUCAUUAAGGUAGCAAAGUCCUUUAAUCGACUGGCCCAGUUUUUUUUGAAAAGCCUAAGAACAAACAGUGAAAAGUUACUGGGGAUGUUGAUGCCAAGUGUUGGGAUCAGAUGACCAUGUGGAUGAUGCUUUCAGGUCAAGGCCAGAAGAAUAACAUGAGCACUUAGGCAUACUGUCUGCUUAUAACAAGCCACUCACAAGGUUUGGUUUCUUCACAAGCACAUUCUGUGCUUGGACCAAAAACAGGCCCUCAUUGCUGAAACUCCACAGCCAGCUCUUGCAAAUUUCACCUGAAUCUAGUUGAAUUCAGCUUCUUACAGCGGUGCCCACAAAGCUAUUGUACUACCAACCUUACUGUACGCUUGUGAAACAUGGACCACUUAUAAACACCAUCUCCAACUCCUCGAAAGAUUCCAUCAACGGUGUCUCCGAAAAAUUUCACACAUCACUUGGGAAGACAGGCGAACUAAUAUCAGUGUACUGGAAGAAGCAAAGGUCACCAGUGUUGAAGCAAUGAUUCUUCAACAUCAACUUCGUUGGACUGGUCAUGUUGAGCAGUUGCCUGAUUAUUGUCUUCCAAAGCAACUACUCUAUUCCGAACUUAAAGAUGGAAAGCAUAAUGCUGGUGGUCAACAAAAGAGGUUUAAAGACUGUCUCAAGGCAAAUCUUUAAAAAUGUAGUAGUUGUUGUCGUUGUUGUUUAGUCGUUUAGUCAUGUCCAACUCUUCGUGACCCCAUGGACCAGAGCACACCAGGCACUCCUGUCUUCCACAGACAGGAUUAUACUACAAAAAUGUAGUAUAAACCAACAAUUGGGAAACACUGUCCUGCGAACGCUCCAACUGGAAAACAGCCUUUACCAAAGGUGUCAUGGACUUUGAAGACACUCAAACUCAGGAUGAAAGGGAGAAACAUGCUAAGAGGAAAGCACACUUGGCAAACCCUGUCAUGUGACAAAGACACAUGAGAGCAGAAGCAGCAAAGCAGGUUGGGAAGUGCUGGGACUGCACAGUCAUUUGGGCCUACUAAAGUUAUUCAGGCCUAACUGCUAACUGUUGAGUCACUCUGACAUGUGACUUAGCAGCCAGUUUCUCUCUGUGCUCUCUGUAAGUUUUCAGUUGGAAUCAGUCUGCCUCAGCUGGGAGCAGAGUCAGUAUGUAAUCUCAGUCAAACUGUUUGGAACCAUGUUGUUUAUGUAGAAGUUUAUUUUAAUUCAGUAAAGCUCUUAUUCUUUCAAUUAAAAACUCUGCAUUAUUAAUUUACGCUGCGUGUCAAACCCUCACCAUGAUCAACUCCUGCCCAGAAACCUAUGUCCCCACUGUGGGAAGAUGUGUGGAUCCAGAAUUGGCCUCCACAGUUGCUUACAGACUCACUGUUAAGACUGUGUUACUGGAAGACAAUCUUACUUGGCUACAAGUGAUCGCCAAAGAAGAAGACGACAUAGGAAGUUGCCUUAUACGGAGUCAGACCAUUGGUUCAUCUGGUUCAGUAUUGCCUACCCCCAUUGGUCUUCAGCUGGCAGGAUGGGACCCGAUCUAAGAUGUGUUACAAAAGCAGCACUACCACCAUACAAAUAUAAGGCAUAGUGCGAAUUUGGCCACAGUCUGCCUUACGUUCUGAACCUUGAGUAGUGGUUGAACUGAAGUACCGCAGUGCUUCCUGGGGAAAUCCCUGGUUCAGUUCACACAUUGGCUAUGACCUAAUUAUUCUGAAGCAGCUUCCCACGUUCCUUACUGAGAUAUGAGAAGUGGUUUGAGUGCUCUCAUGUGAACAACGACAACAACGCUGCUUUAAUUUCUGAAGCUUCUUAUCGCCUCAGUGACCUGAGGUUUGUUUUGUCUUAAAGCGAACAGAGAUUUAUUUCAAGGGAGGGGUGUUUGUGAUUUUGAUGGUGACAAUGAUUUGGAGACCGGAGGCCUUGUGUUAUUUCCUGUCCCGCUACGGUGCUUUAUUGGCACCAAUGGGUGCUAACGCAACCCUACCGAGUUUCCAAUGCUGAAAGGCGAAGAUUUAUAUACACUAAUGAAAAGUCAAAGUCGCUUUUAUGACAAGUCACUGGCGUGAUGCGUUGCCAGGGGAUGGCGUUUGCUGAUUAGCGGCGGCGGCAGUGGCGGCACCGUAAUGCAUUGCUGGCAAAGGGCUGAGCACUAGUAAUUUCAUCCUUUAAUAGGAGAUCAGGGCUGCAUUUCUGUGUAUCAGCCAGGGUGAGAUUAAUGCUUUCUGAUGUCAGGCUAGCGCACACAGGAGGGGGCCUUCCAUUAAUGGAAGCAUUAACUAACGUUUGCAACAUGAUGGGCUCACAAUCAGAAAUUCUCCCGUCUCUUUAACUAAGGGGGGCUUGGAAUACAAUAGAUAAUAAAAUGACAUUCUGUUUAAUCCGUUCACCAACAAUUUGAAGCCACGACCUUGUUGUUUACAGCUGUGGGUGGGUGUGCGAGAUAGGCUGCGGAGAUCUGCAAGUAUAAGUAGCUGUGUGUGGGAGGUUGCAUGGACCGAAAUAGUUGCAUUUGGGUUUGCUUGUUUUUAGCAAGGCUGUUUUAAAACCAUAAGCUUUGUCUUCUCACAGGUGCCGAAAUUCCAGCAGCAGCUGGAACUCAUUCAGAUUGGUAGGGCAGAAGGCAAAGGGACCAGUGGCAGUUGGAGGCAGAGCCAUUGAUGGGAACAUGUAUUAAGGAAAACCAAAGAGACGCCAUUUUGUCUCAGACACCAGGCAUUAGCAAGAGACCCUCACCUUGCAUCGAACAGCAGACUUUAGCAAGGCCCUCUGAGUGCCCCAGCUCCAGAAGACUAGGGAUUCUCUUGCAAGAUCUCGUGAGAACUCAGGUGGUCCCAUGAAAUCUCAUGAAACAUCCCAGAACCUGCACACUGAGAGGCCCUUGUCCCCCAAACAAGACAGAGGGCUUAAAAGUUCUUUGGGAGCUGGUUCCACUGGGACAAACCAGUCUGUCUGUUGUAGGCAUUAGAAGGGACUUGGCAUACAGCCUACACCUCCCCAAACUCACAACAAUUUGUAUGUUUAUAGUCCUACAUGCUGCAAGUACUGCAGUCCAAAAUUCUUCCACUCUUGCUCUCUCGCACAUUUUCCAAGAAACUUUUUUUUCCUAGAACAAAACCACUUGCUCAGUACUUUUACUGUAAAAAAUAAAUAAAAAGAGAGGAAAUUCUAGCUAAACAGCA